AAGGUAGAGCAACAAAGGGCCCUGACCACUAUAGGCAACACGUAUAGGUCGAGACAUGAGGCAGCAACAAGUAAACAAAAAUUGGUUGAGCUGGAGAAGGCCAAAUCUGCGUUUACAGAGAGCCUACAGCUGUGUGAGGAACUGAAGGGCAGCAUCAAGGCUGCAGAGUACAGUGACAUGAAGGGGAGGCUACUCUAUAAUAUCGGCCUGGUAUUCACAGACUUGGGUGAUGUGGAAUCUGGUAUCAGCUAUUUGAAUAAAGCACUGGCAAUUUUGCAAAAACGGCAUUUACUACAAGCAAUAAUCGCGGAAACCUGCCCUAUGACCACGGACACAACUGAUUUCCUGCAUUUAUAUACAUUUUGUUACUUUCUUUGACAUGUAAACAUACUAACCUACAUUCAUUUUAAUUUCCAAUAAACAAAGCAUCUCCGAAA